rnacentral:rRNA from 1 species
GAUGAACGCUGGCGGCGUGCCUAAUACAUGCAAGUCGAGCGAACAGACUAGGAUCUUGCUCCUCUGACGUUUGCGGCGGACGGGUGAGUAACACGUGGAUCACCUCCCUAUAAGACUGGUAUAACUUCGGGACACCGGCGCUCAUACCGUAUAAUAUCUUGAACCGCAUGGUUCAAUAGUGAAAGACGUUUUUUCUGUCACUUAUAGAUGGAUCCUCGCCGCAUUAGCUAGUUGGUAAGGUAACGGCUUACCAAGGCAACGAUGCGUAGCCGACCUGAGAGGGUGAUCGGCCACACUGGAACUGAGACACGGUCAAGACUCCUACGGGAGGCAGCAGUAGGGAAUCUUCCGCAAAGGGAGAAAGCCUGAAGGAGCAACGCAGCGUGAGUGAUGAAGGUCUUCGGAUCGUAAAACUCUGUUAUUAGGGAAGAACAAAUGUGUAAGUAACUAUGCACGUCUUGACGGUACCUAAUCAGAAAGCCACGGCUAACUACGUG